AUUGAACGCUGGCGGCAGGCCUAACACAUGCAAGUCGAGCGGAUGAAGGGAGCUUGCUCCUGGAUUCAGCGGCGGACGGGUGAGUAAUGCCUAGGAAUCUGCCUGGUAGUGGGGGAUAACGUCCGGAAACGGGCGCUAAUACCGCAUACGUCCUGAGGGAGAAAGUGGGGGAUCUUCGGGCCUCACGCUAUCAGAUGAGCCUAGGUCGGAUUAGCUAGUUGGUGGGGUAAAGGCCUACCAAGGCGACGAUCCGUAACUGGUCUGAGAGGAUGAUCAGUCACACUGGAACUGAGACACGGUCCAGACUCCUACGGGAGGCAGCAGUGGGGAAUAUUGGACAAUGGGCGAAAGCCUGAUCCAGCCAUGCCGCGUGUGUGAAGAAGGUCUUCGGAUUGUAAAGCACUCUAAGUUGGGAGGAAGGGCAGUAAGUUAAUACCUUGCUGUUUUGACGUUACCAACAGAAUAAGCACCGGCUAACUUCGUG
rnacentral:rRNA from 1 species